rnacentral:rRNA from 1 species
AUGGCGGACAAGGACAUGGGGCGCGUCAAGAUCGUCGGCGUGAAGCCUUUCAUCUUUGAGACGAUGCUUCACUACAUCUACACGGACUUCCUACCGCCAUGCCCCGAUGAAGGAGGCUAUAGCGCCGCGGCCAUGCAACAUUUACUGGUCGCGGCUGAUAGGUACGGGCUUGACAGACUGAAACUUAUGUGCGAGGAAGAGUUGUGCAAAAGAAUCGAUGCGGAGACCAUCGCAACCAUGUCGAUGCUGGCAGAUCAGCACCACUGCAAGAGGCUCAAGGAUGCAUGCCUAGAGUUGUUUCCGGCUGCCGCACGUGGGCGUCCUCGAGGUAAACGUGUCAAGUCAACCACACCCAUCGUCAGCAACAAGCUCCGUCGUGGUCUAAGAAGUGACACCAAGCUCCGUCGUGUUCUUAGAAGUGACAAGGAAGGAUAUGUUGAGAUGGCGCUCCCAUGA